rnacentral:RNase_P_RNA from 1 species
UCAGAGGGCCGGGCGGCCGCGGCCUCGGGAAACCGGGGGCGAGGAAAGUCCGGGCUCCGCGGAACAACGGUGCCGGGUAACGCCCGGCGGGGGCGACCCCAGGGACAGUGCCACAGAGAGCAGACGGCCACGGCUUCGGCCAGGUCAGGGUGAAAGGGUGCGGUAAAAGCGCACCGCGGGUCCGGUAACGGAAACGGCAUGGCAAACCCCACCGGGAGCAAGACCGAAUAGGGAUGGCAUGGCGCCGCAAGGCGUCGGGGCGCGUUCCCGCCCGCUAUCCGGGUUGGUUGCUUGAGGCGAUGUGCAAGCAUCGUCCUAGAAGAAUGGUCGCCCAUCCGGCCUCGGCCGGUGGACAGAACCCGGCUUACAGGCCCUCUGGCUUU